rnacentral:rRNA from 1 species
CCCCUAGAUGUUCUGGGCCGCACGCGCGCUACACUGAACAGUUCAACAAGUCUUAACCUUGGCCGAUAGGUCUGGGUAAUCUUUGAACGCUGCUCGUGAUUGGGAUAGACCUUUGCAAUUAUGGGUCUUCAACGAGGAAUUCCUAGUAAACGCAAGUCAUCAGCUUGCAUUGAUUACGUCCCUGCCCUUUGUACACACCGCCCGUCGCACCUACCGAUUGAAUGGUCCGGUGAAAUCUCGGGACGGCGGCUUGGUUGCUUGCGUCCGACUGCUGAAACUUGAUUAAACCAUAUCAUUUAGAGGAAGGUGAAGUCGUAACA